rnacentral:rRNA from 1 species
AUUGAACGCUGGCGGCAGGCUUAACACAUGCAAGUCGAGCGGAGAGAGGUAGCUUGUUACUGAUCUUAGCGGCGGACGGGUGAGUAAUGCUUAGGAAUCUGCCUAUUAGUGGGGGACAACAUUUCGAAAGGAAUGCUAAUACCGCAUACGUCCUACGGGAGAAAGCAGGGGAUCUUCGGACCUUGUGCUAAUAGAUGAGCCUAAGUCGGAUUAGCUAGUUGGUGGGGUAAAGGCCUACCAAGGCGACGAUCUGUAGCGGGUCUGAGAGGAUGAUCCGCCACACUGGGACUGAGACACGGCCCAGACUCCUACGGGAGGCAGCAGUGGGGAAUAUUGGACAAUGGGCGCAAGCCUGAUCCAGCCAUGCCGCGUGUGUGAAGAAGGCCUUAUGGUUGUAAAGCACUUUAAGCGAGGAGGAGGCUACUUUAGUUAAUACCUAGAGAUAGUGGACGUUACUCGCAGAAUAAGCACCGGCUAACUCUGUGCCAGCCGCCGCCGUAACAC